rnacentral:lncRNA from 1 species
AAGGCUGAAUUUGACCAUGUCUGUUUAAAAAGUCAUUAACUUUCACAUCUCUUCUUCACGUCUGCUUAACAAAGUAGUUACUUCUCAAGGAAGUAAAAAACAAAGAACAAUUAUUAGCUUUUUUGUUUUUAAAAAAAAAAAUUAAUCCUUUCAUACAUCCUUUUUUGAAAGUUUGUACUUUAUUAUUAUCAUUAUUUCCUUACUUGAGACAAGUUUGUGGCACUUUAAUUAUUAUCCAUUAUCUUGCUCAUUAAAAGACAAAUAAAAAACUUAUUUCAUAUUUCAGCAUAAUUUAUAGUCUUUGCCCAUGAUAAAACAUAAUGAUGUUACAAUAAAUUUUAAUGUGUAACCUCUGUCUUUGACUGGAAAUAAACCUGAAAUAUGUAUGGUGACAAGUGCUGCAUGCUGCCAUUUCUGGGACACAGAUUUCAUACAGAAGAAUAAAAAGUUGCUUGUUAAACAUUUAUUUUUAAAUUAGGAAAUAUAUGUAUACAUAUAAGACACACACACACACACACACACACCAAAAUUAAAAGUAAAAUCAGAAAAAAUGUCUCUGCCUUGGAAUAAUCUGAUAUUUUAGAGCUUUGGAAGGCGUAUUCAGAUUAUAUACUUGGUUUAUUAUGAGAAAGAAGCAGCUUAAAGUAAUUGCCAGUGUGUAGCAUUGAAUUCAGCUCUUCUGGUAACUGGAGGACAGGCAAGAUUGUUUGUAACUCUGCAAGAAAUACCUGACUUACAAAGAGAUUACUUCUGCAUUCACCUGGUAAGGAGAAAAUUAAUUUCAUUGGUAAUUUCUCUUUUGCUUACUAAAUAUAGUGUGAGUAAACUGGGAUAGCAAAGAAAUUUAUCCAAAAUAUUUGUUUUCCUGCAGUGAAAGCAAAAUAAAUAGCUGCACCAUUAACGCAGCAAGAGCAGUAAACAGCAAGACCCUGGCAAGGAAGUUGGCUGCAUUUUCAGAGGAUUUUUUCAGACAUCCAUCUGGCUUUAUUGAGGUAGGAGUACAAGAUAUGGACUAAAUAUAUUUUAAAAGUAACUGUCAUCAACUUUG